ensembl:snRNA U6 U6 spliceosomal RNA
GUGCUCAUUUCAGCAGCACAUGUACUAAAAUUGGAAGGAUACAGAGAAGACUAGCAUGGCCCGUGUGCAAGGAUGACAUGCAAAUUUGUGAGGCAUUCCAUAUGUUU